rnacentral:rRNA from 1 species
GACGAACGCUGGCGGCGUGCUUAACACAUGCAAGUCGAACGGAAAGGCCCUGCUUUUGUGUGGUGCUCGAGUGGCGAACGGGUGAGUAACACGUGAGUAACCUGCCCUUGACUGUGGGAUAACUUCAGGAAACUGGGGCUAAUACCGGAUAGGAGCUCCUGCUGCAUGGUGGGGGUUGGAAAGUUUCGGCGGUUGGGGAUGGACUCGCGGCUUAUCAGCUUGUUGGUGGGGUAGUGGCUUACCAAGGCUUUGACGGGUAGCCGGCCUGAGAGGGUUACCGGCCACCUUGGGACUAAGAUACGGCCCAGACUGCUACGGGAGGCAGCAGUGGGGAAUAUUGCACAACGGGCGGACGCCUGAUGCAGCAGCGCCGCGUGCGGAAUGCCGGCCUUCGAGUUGUGAACCGAUUUCGACUGUACCGAAGCGUGAGUGACGGUACUGAGUCAAGAAGCCCCGGCUAACUACGUG